AAGUAGAGAAGUGAGUGGGUUGGCAACAGGUGGGCUGGCAACAGCUGUACUUGUAAAAUAAAAUCUAAUUAACUCCAGAAGCCGAACAAAACAAAACACAUACUUCUACCGGAACCCUAUCUGCUCCUCUCUCUCUUUCUUCCAUCGCUGCCUCCCCACGAAGGUAUGAAUUUUAUCAUCAUAUAUUAUAUAUAUGCAUACAUGUAUCUAUUCUUCUUUAUUCUCUCUUUUUCUUAUUUUGAUUACAACUCAUCUUUCAAUUCUGUUUUUCUACGAUUAUAUGUUUUGUUGCAAAAGAUUUGAUUUUUAUGGACGAUCGUGGAUUGUAUUUGUUUAUGUGUGGAGAACCCAUCUUUCAAUUUUGUUUUUCUACAUGCCUGUGAUCUUAUUGACCUGAUCUGAUGAACUCAUCUUCCAAUUUUGUUUUUACAUUCCCAUGUAUCAAAAAUUGUUCUACAUGCUUGUGAUCUUAUGAUUUAUUCAUUGCAAAAGUUUUCAUCUUUAUGGCAUGUCUGGAUCUAACGAGUAUAUUUUCAAAUUUUCUUGAGAUCUUAUUAUCUUUUAUUUGUGUUCUGUAUUCGUGUCUAUCUGUACUCUUAGGACUUCCCUUUAAAGUUUAAAUCAUAAAUCUUCAUGGCAGGUGGCCAAUCUGUAUCUCUUGUAUGUAUAUGUAUGUGUGGAUCUAAUAUAGUUAUAGUCCUUCAACCUUGUGCCCUACUGAUCUAUCUGUAUUCUAUCAUCUUUGUUUCAAUAUGUAUGUGUUGAAGGAAGAAUUAAAGUUGUGGUUCUUAGUUUUUUCUUUAUUUUGGUUUGGUUGGGUUGGGUUGGGUUGGGGGGACAAUUGGUGAGUCAUGAGUCAUGACUCGCCCUAGCUUAGGCAUAUGUGACACUCCCAAAUUUGUAUCUCUUCUAUGUUUCAAUAUGUAUGUUGGAUCUAGUGAGUCUAUUUUCAAAUUUUCUUGCGAUCUUAUUAUUUAUUAUUUGUGCUGUAAUCUUCAUGGCAUGUGGUUGAUCUGUAUCUCUUCUACGUUUAAUAUGUAUGUGUGGAUCUAAAUUCUAAAAUUCUAAUAUAGUUAAAGUCCUUGAGCCUUGUCCUGCCGAUCUGUGUUAAUAUGAUCUUUGUUUCAAUAUGUAUGUGCUGAAGGAAGAAUUAAUGUUGUGGUUUGUAUCUUUGUUUUAUAUAUCUGUUCUUGUAUUUUUUUGGGGGGUGUGCUAGUAAAGGGAAGCGAAAACCACUUGAAAUUAAACUAAAAAAUUCACCUCAAGGGGAAGAACAGCUCCCAAAAUUGACAUCACCUACCAAAUAAAUUGAAAUUACUCGAUGCAUCCACCUUUCUGUGUAAAUUGUAUUUUCUCUACUUGUUGGAGUCAAAAACAUGAUUUUGAAUUUUGUUAUUACUCCUUUUUACACACUGUUCUUUACAGGAAAAUAACAUUUGAAAUGGCAUCAUUGUACAUUUUAGUGAACGAUCAUCAUUGCAGAUGUAAAGUAUAUUCAAAUAGGUAUAUAAAAACUACCUAUUACAUUUUAUUCUCCUUGCCACUUUUUAUUCCCUGGGUGGUGGUGGGUUGUUGUAUGUAGGCAUUUCUACAUACUUCUCCAUAUCCAGAUUCUGCACGUGAAUAGUGUAAAUUUAUUAGUUUCCAUAGACAAAAGAACAAAAAUAAAUGUUUAAACUUACUUUGUUACAACAAUUAGCUCUGUGAUUCUUAAACGAUUGUUGGUCAAUAUGUUUUCCACAGGUGUUGCACACACUUUUGUUUUUGCCCUGCUUGCCUUUUGUCAUGCCUAUGAAUAGAAGGAAGAAUUUCAUCAUACCAAUUGAAUACUACAGUUGAACAAUUGAAUACAAUAGUUGAACAAUGAAUAUGAAUUAGGGGUACAUUGAACACAAAUCCACACAAGUCUAGGUUGCAUUAGUUUGACAAAGUUCUAUAUGGUGUUUUCUUUGAACCCAUGGAAUUGCACAAAAUAUUCACAUAAUUAAUCUGCACCCUAUCCACACAAGUCUAGGUUCACAUAAUUAAUCUGCACCCUAUUUAAUUUGUGAAUAUUUUGUGCAAUUCCACGGGAGCGUGUUCACAGGACGAACCGCAACCGAAGUUGUCUCCGGCAAUGAGGAUUGAGUACUUGGACUUUCAUUUCUCAACCAAUACCCACCACCACUGAUGUCUCUGUUGAAAGCUGUGCUGCCGCCGGUAUUAGCUAGGGCUUUGACAUGAUGUACGAUCCACCCGACCCGACAUUCUACGAUGAUCCGAGCCUGACAUACUCUGUUGGGACGGCGCUGAAAAAUUGGGACGAAAAGAUUUAAUAACCUGAUUGUGCUGGUGAGAUUCUCGUAGCUGCUGCUUCGCUUCUCGUGGAUAUUCCCGGCUACUGCUUCGCUAAUGAAUGUUGGGCUUGUAUGUAGGUGAAUGUUGGGCUUAUAUGUAUGUAUUUGUAUUUAGAACAUUGACACCCCCAUAGAUAAUUAUAUUAAACAUCUCUUCUUUCAAAUAACAGUCAAUAACUAUGUAACAUUUACAUCAGCUAAUAUUCAAAAAUAUCUUUAAUAUAAUGUCUAUUAUACCCUUCAAGUUGUAAUGUUUAAUAUAUUCACUAAAUAUAAAUUUGUUUGUUAUAAUUUUUACUUAA
rnacentral:lncRNA from 1 species